rnacentral:rRNA from 1 species
CUUAUGCGUUGUUGGGUAGGGGAGCGUUCUGUAAGCCUGUGAAGGUGUGCUGUGAGGCAUGCUGGAGGUAUCAGAAGUGCGAAUGCUGACAUAAGUAACGAUAAAGCGGGUGAAAAGCCCGCUCGCCGGAAGACCAAGGGUUCCUGUCCAACGUUAAUCGGGGCAGGGUGAGUCGACCCCUAAGGCGAGGCCGAAAGGCGUAGUCGAUGGGAAACAGGUUAAUAUUCCUGUACUUGGUGUUACUGCGAAGGGGGGACGGAGAAGGCUAUGUUGGCCGGGCGACGGUUGUCCCGGUUUAAGCGUGUAGGCUGGUUUUCCAGGCAAAUCCGGAAAACCAAGGCUGAGGCGUGAUGACGAGGCACUACGGUGCUGAAGCGACAAAUGCCCUGCUUCCAGGAAAAGCCUCUAAGCAUCAGGUAACAUCAAAUCGUACCCCAAACCGACACAGGUGGUCAGGUAGAGAAUACCAAGGCGCUUGAGAGAACUCGGGUGAAGGAACUAGGCAAAAUGGUGCCGUAACUUCGGGAGAAGGCACGCUGAUAUGUAGGUGAAGCGACUUGCUCGUGGAGCUGAAAUCAGUCGAAGAUACCAGCUGGCUGCAACUGUUUAUUAAAAACACAGCACUGUGCAAACACGAAAGUGGACGUAUACGGUGUGACGCCUGCCCGGUGCCGGAAGGUUAAUUGAUGGGGUUAGCGGUAACGCGAAGCUCUUGAUCGAAGCCCCGGUAAACGGCGGCCGUAACUAUAACGGUCCUAAGGUAGCGAAAUUCCUUGUCGGGUAAGUUCCGACCUGCACGAAUGGCGUAAUGAUGGCCAGGCUGUCUCCACCCGAGACUCAGUGAAAUUGAACUCGCUGUGAAGAUGCAGUGUACCCGCGGCAAGACGGAAAGACCCCGUGAACCUUUACUAUAGCUUGACACUGAACAUUGAGCCUUGAUGUGUAGGAUAGGUGGGAGGCUUUGAAGUGUGGACGCCAGUCUGCAUGGAGCCGACCUUGAAAUACCACCCUUUAAUGUUUGAUGUUCUAACGUUGGCCCCUAAUCGGGGUUGCGGACAGUGUCUGGUGGGUAGUUUGACUGGGGCGGUCUCCUCCUAAAGAGUAACGGAGGAGCACGAAGGUUGGCUAAUCCUGGUCGGACAUCAGGAGGUUAGUGCAAUGGCAUAAGCCAGCUUGACUGCGAGCGUGACGGCGCGAGCAGGUGCGAAAGCAGGUCAUAGUGAUCCGGUGGUUCUGAAUGGAAGGGCCAUCGCUCAACGGAUAAAAGGUACUCCGGGGAUAACAGGCUGAUACCGCCCAAGAGUUCAUAUCGACGGCGGUGUUUGGCACCUCGAUGUCGGCUCAUCACAUCCUGGGGCUGAAGUAGGUCCCAAGGGUAUGGCUGUUCGCCAUUUAAAGUGGUACGCGAGCUGGGUUUAGAACGUCGUGAGACAGUUCGGUCCCUAUCUGCCGUGGGCGCUGGAGAACUGAGGGGGGCUGCUCCUAGUACGAGAGGACCGGAGUGGACGCAUCACUGGUGUUCGGGUUGUCAUGCCAAUGGCACUGCCCGGUAGCUAAAUGCGGAAGAGAUAAGUGCUGAAAGCAUCUAAGCACGAAACUUGCCCCGAGAUGAGUUCUCCCUGACUCCUUGAGGGUCCUGAAGGAACGUUGAAGACGACGACGUUGAUAGGCCGG